UACGUAGGAUGCAAGCGUUGUCCGGAUUUAUUGGGCGUAAAGAGCGUGUAGGCGGUUUGGUAGGUCCGCUGUGAAAACUCGAGGCUCAACCUCGAGACGCCGGUGGAAACCAUCAGGCUAGAGUCCGGAAGAGGAGAGUGGAAUUCCUGGUGUAGCGGUGAAAUGCGCAGAUAUCAGGAAGAACACCCGUGGCUAAGGCGGCUCUCUAGUACGGUACUGACGCUGAGACGCGAAAGCGUGGGGAGCGAACAGG
rnacentral:rRNA from 1 species